UGCCCCAGGUGGUGGGAGCUGAGCCAGCGUUGGGGGCAGCCCCUGAGGUGGGAUCAGACCCACCACUGGGGCUACCCCCUGCGGUGGGAGUGGGCCCACAGUUUGGGGUACCCCCUGAGGUGGGAGCUGACCCCCAGUAUAGGGCAUUGCCCCAAGGGGCAGCUCAACCAUAGUUUGGGGCAUUGCCCCAGGUGGCAGCUGAACCACUGCUGGGGCAUUGCCCCAGCUGGCAGUUGAAGCACAGUUUGAGGCAUCGCCCCAGGUGGCAGCUGCGCUCCCUGUCCCUGCACACCCGGUACCCCCGGCUGGACAGAGGCCUGAGGCACCAUGGAGGUGACAUUGGGGGCAGGGAUGGGCUGGAAGGAUACGGGCACUGCUCCGCCAAUGGUGGUCUGCAUCGCAGCAGUGGCCGGUGGGGGCACAAAGGCUCCAAAUAAAAUGGCGUCAGGUGUCGGAAGCACCGUCAGCGAUGAAGGAAUUCUCUCUGUGGGGAAAUGCCCAAAUGGGCGCCGGGGUGAGAUGUGGGGCACUGGGACCCCCUGGAGGGCCGCAGUGCCAGGAGCAGGAGGAGCCUGCUGCCUUACCUGCCGUGGCAGCUCGAGAGUGGCAGUGGGGGGUUCCGUGAGCGCUGGGGUCAGCCCCUCUGCCCUGAGCUCACAGUGCCCCUCUGUGACGCUGUCCCGUGGUGUCACAGGCACUGCUCUGUGCCUGCCAUGUCAUCAACUUGCUGUGCCUGCCAUCGUGGUGAUAGCCUCCCACUGUUUCAAGGGAGAUGAUAAACAGGAGGAAAAUGAACUUUUCUUGUGGGGAGAUGGGACAAAGGGGAAUGGUUUUAAUGUAAAGGAGGGGGAUUUGGGUUAGAUGUGGGGGAAGGUGUUCACAGAGGGAGCUGAGGCCCUGCACUGCUGCCCAGAGAGGCCGUGUGUGCCCCAUCCCUGCGGGUGCACCCAACCCAGCUCCCAUUGCAGUGAAUGGAGACGAAGGGAGGGACGUGGCUGAUGACCGUCAAAGUCCCGGUGGCAUCCCAGGGCUGCGGUGCUUUGAGCCUGGAAAGCCACCAAACGUCCACCUGCCCGCUGUGUCCCUUCACACACCCGUCUGUCACAGCAGCACAGGGGCUGGGAGGGAUCUCUGGGAGGUCCUCCAGAGGUUUUCCCGCCCCUCGCCGCCAGGGGGCGCUGCGGUCGCAGCCAUCCCCGCUCCUUCCUGAUGACGUCACGCAGACGGUAGCCGCGCCAGG
ensembl:lncRNA